rnacentral:lncRNA from 1 species
AGUCAUUGUAGUUUCGUCUCUGAUUUUUUAUUUGUUGAUCGAACUGUUUUGCUGAUUAUGGAUUUGUUUGUUGGCUCUAUGCAGAUUCACAAGGUGAACACUCUGGUAUCCUACAAGAAUGACGAAUGGGAUGAGGAAUAGGAUCUGGUAUCCUACAAGAAUGACGAAUGGGAUGAGGAAUAGGAUUCCAUUUGUCCUCCUAGACUUUGGUGUUGUGAAUCUUUCUGUUCACAUUUUGUUAAUAGUUCGAAAAGUUGAUGCUGAUGUACUAGUACUAUCUAUUUGCA